UUUGUCAAGGCGUUGAAAAAGCCAGAAGGUAAGAAAGAACUUGAUUUCCACAAUGCUCAGGCAGCGGCUAGAAAAGAUGUGGAGAGAGCUUUUGGGAUUUUGCAAGCCCAAUUUGCUCUUGUGAGAGGACCGGCUAGAUUUUGGAAUCAGAAAAUGCUUUGGUACAUCAUGCACGCUUGUGUGAUCAUGCAUAACAUGAUCAUCGAGAAUGAGCGUGGCCAAGAUGUAGACUACUCUCAGUAUGAGUUUUGGGACAUCCGGUGCGAGUGCGACGGAGGGCUGAAAGGGUUGCCCGUUUUGUUGCCUCCUAUCAUGCCAUUCGACGUCCCGCAGCACAUAAUGAUCUUCAGAAGGAUCUCAUUGAGGAGUGGUGGG
rnacentral:rRNA from 1 species